CAGCCAGCUUAGCCCAGCGGUUCCAUCGACCAACGCGUAGCUUGCAUCCUGCAAUCGCCCACAGCGGUUUGAAACCCGUGGGCGCUGCCUGGCUUCUCC
rnacentral:vault_RNA from 1 species